UUUUUUUUUUUUUGGACACACUACAGCAUAUGGAAGUUCCUGGGCCAGGGAUCGAAUCUGAGCUGCAGCUGGGACCUGGGCCACAGCUGCGACAAUGCAGGAUCCUUAAUCCACUGCACCACAGCAGAACUCAUACAAAAGGGACUUGACUAUUCAAAUAAUAACAUCAUAAUGCAUCAAAGACUUAGAGAAAGUAAAGAGAGAAUUUUAGGAAAAUGUUUUUUCGACCCAACAUUGGUAUCCACCUUCCUCUUUAGUUCAACACCGGAAACAAGUGGGAAGAGGAAACAGGGUUUUUCUUGUUCUAUUUUAGGAACACAGUGUGGUUCUUUCCACUAGAUACAUGUAACACUUCAUCUCUGAAACCUAAGCUUCAAGAAUUAGCUAGAGGGAAUAAAAUCAAAAAUUUGCAAAGUUUCUGAAGUUCAUCAGUGUUCACAGAAAAAAAAACCCCAAAACGAUGACGUUAAUAUUGACCAUCUGAAUACAUGUUUGGAUUUUUGACGGGAGUAGGGAGGGGGAAGAAUAAUCAAGAGCUCUGGUUAGAACCUAAAUGCUAUUCAGUUUAAACAUCUGCCUCACAGCUGAUGUUCCCUUCACUCACCUUGGGAGCCACCCUUGACUCCUGAAUCGAACCCCAGGAGUUCCCAUCGUGGCUCAGCAGAAACGAACCUGACUAGCAUCCAUGAGGAUGCAGGUUCGAUCCCCGGCCUCGAUCAGGGGGUUAAGGAUCCGGCGUUGCCGAGAGCUGUGGUGUAGGUCACAGACACGGCUCAGAUCUGGCAUUGCCAUGGCUGUGGUGUAGGCCAGCAGCUACAGCUCUGAUUUGACCCCUAGCUUGGGAACCUCCAUAUGCCACGGCAACAUCAGAUCCAAGCCUCAGCUGCGACCUACACCACAGCUCACGGCAAAUGCCUUAACCUACUGAGCGAGGCCAGGGAUCAAACCCGAAGCCUCAUGGUCCUAGUCAGAUGCAUUUCUGCUGCACCACAACGGGAACACCUAGUUCAACUGACUAUUGAACACCAGGAAGAGAGAAAUGACGGUGCCAAAAUUAUCCAUCCUUACCAUACAUACUAGAAUUAAUUAGAUUACUAGGCAAUCUACAGCUUUCAUUUUUCUAAGCGUUGUUCCAUACAAAACGUGUACAGUUUUUCAACAUGACAUAGAAAUCUUAAAGCUAUUAGAAAAACAUACACUAUAAAAUAUAUCCUUCUAGGUGUACAGGAUGAGGAGUUCUGAAAGAUGCAUGACACCCCUGUAAUUAUCCACAAUCAAGAGAAAGAACAUUUGCAUCAGCCCAAAAGUGCCCUCGUGCCUUUUACAAUGAAUCCCCUCAGCCCAGCCCCUGACCUGCUUUCUGUUAUGACAGACCAAUGGGGCCACACAGUAUGUCCUAUUUUGUGUCUGCUUUUCUUUCUCUCAGGAUAAUGUUUUCAUUAUUAAUGAUUAAGAAUGUAGGUGUCAAUGUCAGAGGUGAGUUCUUUUUUUUUUUUUUUUUUUUU
rnacentral:lncRNA from 1 species